rnacentral:piRNA from 1 species
UGUGAUGAUUUCAAGGGCUAUAAAACGUG